AAAUUCACCCUACCCCGAAACAACUUUCAUCAGAUCUAUGAUCCUAUUACACAUACAUUUAUUCAUUGCUCCAUCACAAAAAUUAUAUUAACAUUCAUAUCCUAAGGAAUAUUGAAUGGGCUCAAGUCAUGAAUUUAAAAAAAAAGUUAAAAAAGAAAAAUAGGGAAAUCGAUUUACCCAAUUAGGUAAAUCGAUUUCCCCUGCACAGACACCAAAAAUAAGCAUUUUUUUGAACAAAGGGUAUUUGGUUCCCCCCACUUUCCCACUUGCUUUCCCUAUAAAAUGAUGCACUAUUCUCCCUCAAUUUUCAUGCUUUCUAGCCCCCAAAAUUUUGAAAAAAAU
rnacentral:lncRNA from 1 species